CANGCACGUNUCGGAAUUUUGGGCGUAAGAGCUCGUAGGCGGUCUGUUGCGUCGAAAGUGAAAUCUCAGGGCUUAACCCUGAGCCUGCUUUCGAUACGGGCAGACUAGAGGAAGGUAGGGGAGAACGGAAUUCCUGGUGGAGCGGUGGAAUGCGCAGAUAUCAGGAGGAACACCGAUGGCGAAGGCAGUUCUCUGGACCUUUCCUGACGCUGAGGAGCGAAAGCGUGGGGAGCAAACAGGCUUAGAUACCCUGGUAGUCCACGCCGUAAACGGUGGGUACUAGGUGUGGGGACCAUUCCAAGGUCUCUGUGCCGCAGCUAACGCAUUAAGUACCCCGCCUGGGGAGUACGGCCGCAAGGCUAAAACUCAAAGGAAUUGACGGGGCCCCGCACAAGCGGCGGAGCAUGCGGAUUAAUUCGAUGCAACGCGAAGAACCUUACCUGGGUUUGACAUAUGCCGGAAACGUCUAGAGAUAGGCGCCCCCUUGUGGUCGGUAUACAGGUGGUGCAUGGCUGUCGUCAGCUCGUGUCGUGAGAUGUUGGGUUAAGUCCCGCAACGAGCGCAACCCUCGUCCUAUGUUACCAGCGGGUUAUGCCGGGGACUCAUAGGAGACUGCCGGGGUCAACUCGGAGGAAGGUGGGGAUGACGUCAAGUCAUCAUGCCCCUUAUGUCCAGGGCUUCACGCAUGCUACAAUGGCCGGUACAAAGGGCUGCAAUCCUGCAAAGGUGAGCGAAUCCCAAAAAGCCGGUCUCAGUUCGGAUUGGGGUCUGCAACUCGACCCCAUGAAGUCGGAGUCGCUAGUAAUCGCAGAU
rnacentral:rRNA from 1 species